UUGUUGAGAUGGGGGUUCCUGGUUACAUCGUAUCCGCGCUUCUUCAGGGGUACUGGGCGAGGCGGACCGGACUUGGAGUGGCAUCCCUGGGCGGGCGCGGAGAGUGCCUGACGCCGAAGGCUGCCGCAGGCUAGGCGAGAGAAUACUCUCCGAGGGGUCCCUGCACCCUCAGUACCUGAGGUUGGCCUUGUCUUCUCCACUUACCUGCCUAACUGGAGAAGCUCAAGUCUGUGAGAAGCUCAAGUCUGUGCAGCCCCACUGCAGGCAGGACCAGACUUCCCUUGAGGAUACGCGUGGGGGCUCUUCGUAUCAAGAUGUAACAAGAUGAAGCUCACUUUCCUCCCACAUGAGGGCUUUUGUGCUUUUGUACCUUGGCACUCUCUAUCCAGAGGACUUGAGGAUCAUCAUGCUCCCUGCCUCUUGAGCAAGGCUCUGAGCAAGGAUGCUGUCCUGUGAAGUAACCAUUAGCCACAUGUAGCUGUAAUACUCUAAAUAAAAUACAAUUUAAAAUCCA